rnacentral:rRNA from 1 species
GACAAACGCUGGCGGCGUGCCUAAUACAUGCAAGUAGAACGCAGUUGCGAACGGGUGAGUAACGCGUAGGUAACUGCCUCAUAGCGGGGGAUAACUAUUGGAAACGAUAGCUAAUACCGCAUACUGUGCGAUGGACCUGCGUUGUGUUAGUUAGUUGGUGAGGUAAAGGCUCACCAAGGCGGCGAUACAUAGCCGGCCUGAGAGGGAGAUCGGCCACACCGGGAAUGGGGAACGGCCCAAGACCCUGCCGGAGGCAGGAGUAGGGGAUCUUCGGAAAUGGGGGGAAGUCUGACCGAGCAACGCCGCGGGAGUGAAGAAGGGUUUCGGGGCGUAAAGCUCUGUUGUUAGAGGAGCGGUAACUAAACAGAAAGGAACGGCUAACUACGUGCCAGCAGCCGCGGUAAUUC